GAUGAGUCUAUUCCGACGGGGAGAAAAGUAGUGCGCCUUACUGCCUGCCUCAUCACCUUCAAUUGUUAAGG
rnacentral:sRNA from 1 species